UUAAAAGAUAGGAAAAUAAAGAUGUAGUGAAUUUACUGUAGCAUCCCACCCAUCAUGUUUGGUUGGGUGUGAAGGGGUGGGAGCUAGGAGAAGAAAGAGAAAAGAGAAAGAAAAGAAGACGAUGGAGUAGAGAAAUAAUGUCUACAAAUUUCAGCGUCGUCGGUGCAGAUUCACUACUCCUCCACCAUCUCUACCGACGACAGGGGUAGAGAAACCCAAAGAAGUCCUCUACCGGCGACUCUGUUGCUUACUUUUCUUCUCCCUUAAACUAUACUUUUUUUUUUUUUAAUGCUUCAGGUGCUAAGAAGGGUUUUAAAAGCCAGAAUCGCCCCUGGUUCAGAUCCUGCUGAUUUUGAUCCAGACUGAUCGGAAACAGUUCAGAAUCAGUAUGGAAGCUGCCGGAAUCCACUUGGAACCCUAGAAUAAUUGUAUGGAGAGGUCAAUUCGAAUUUUAGAGGGGGGGAAUCAAGAUGGGCCGCAGACGAUGCAACCGAUAGAUUCCGAUUUUUUAAACACUGAAGCUAAGCAGGUGGAAGAUGAAGAAGAGAGAAUCAGAGGGAGAGAGAAGGAAUCCCUCUUUUUGAUACAUCUCAGCGUCCGCAAUAAUAGACUCUCAUCAAGAGAUGUCGCUGAAAAAGAUAGAGACGGGGAGGAAGGAAGGAAGGAAAGAGAGACAGACAGAGUCCUGCUGAUUUCAAAGGACUUUGAGAAGGUUUCGGGUGGGAGAAGUUGCCUGCCACCUGGGCCGACAAGAAAAGUGGGUUGUCGGCUCACUUUUCCACCCCUAAGCAAAUAGACAUCUUUAGAAUUGUUAUUUUUUGGAAAAGUGCAAAAACAAUCCCACCGGAACAAUCUCACCGCACAACUCCCCUCUAAACAAACAGGCCCUCAAAGAAUCACACCUCCACCAAGAAGAUUGUUAUUUCAAUUCUUUUAGGGGUACAUGGCAGCUAUUAGAUUUCUCUUAACAUGCCAUUGAGGAGAUAGUUGCUUUUUUUAUCAAUUAACAAAAAAAGGAUCAUCUAAUACAUGGUUAAUUUCCCUUAUUUUAAUAUGCAUAGUAGAAUGGUCGUGUUGGUAGGCUUGGCAAUAUUAUUUACUUAAUAUCUGCCACAUGACAAGUAUGAUCUCAGAUAGAGUUUAUUGAAAUGCACUGAUUCAUGUACUCAAUCCCAUUUAGUUGAGAUUCUCUUA